rnacentral:lncRNA from 1 species
CACGAGUUCAAGCAUUCAGGCUUCUAUUUUGUUUAAAUUCAUUAAUAAAUAAUUAAAGACAAUGACUAAUAGAAUAAUAUAUCAGUUCUAAUAAUACAUAGAGUCUAGGCUUGUGAUAUGAAUUCAAGUUUCUCUUAUACAACUCUCAAGUCUUUUAGCCGUUAAGUAUGCGGAGGGUGUGGAUCUGGCUUGCUUUUUGUGCUUUGGCUUUCUCAGAGGGAGAGAGUAAAACCAACCAUUUCUCCAUUUGAACUGCAGCCAUAGAAAACAUUGUUAGUAGUUAGUGACACAAAAAUGAGGUCUAAUCAUUUAAUAAAGGAAAAACUCUAAUUAUGGCCAUUAAGAUCUACCAUACCAUCAUGUUGAAAAAGUUAUUUGCUGCCUCCGUCUUUGUCACCUUAUUUUAAGUUUAAGACUCGGUGCAGGAAGCAAAUUAUGAGAAACUAUGCAAUUUGUUAUGUACAGUUCUUCAGGAAGCCAUACAUUUUGAUGCAAUGUAAUGAUUUUAAAAGCUAUGACUAUAAUAAUAUUCUGUUUCUGAAUUAGUGUUGUUUAACUUGCGGUUAAGUGGGUUUGUACUAAGAUUUUGGCAAAUUUAGAGCAAAGAGGCUUAUGCCCAAAAAAGUGAGCAAAGAGGACAAUAUAUUUAAAGGUUACUCACAUAGAAUUCUUCAACUAAAUUCCAUGCUUUUAUAGCUUUUAUCGAGCAAAAUUUGCCAAUUACGUUUAUUUUCUUCUUAUUUUGUCUAGAAAUUAUUUUCUAAAAUGUUGAGUAAUUUCCUUUUGCAUUCCUUAGACAAAGUGUAGUUCUUUCUCAAGUCACAAAUACUACCUACAGGUUUAGCUGGUGACCAUCUGCAAAUAAAAGACAAGGUAAUGGAUGUUGAGUUAUCAUAGAAAAGUGAAUCUCAGCUACCAUGUGCUUCAGUUUCAGCCAAACAUAGUGGAAAAGAAAAUAAUGUGGAUAUGAUGUCUCCUUCACAUCCAAUGUAAUCGGAUCAAUUUCUGGUGUGAAAAAUGGCCGGAAAUUAAGUCUUUUUCUUUUUUCAAUAUCCAAACACAUUUAGUAGAAAUAAAUAUAAUAGUUAUUUGUAGAUUAAUAAGGGGUAUACAUAUGAAUAAACAUCUAACUCAGAAUGAUUUCUUUUUAAUGUAAUUAUUAGUUUCUAUUUUGGGUGUGUUAUAUAUAUCAGUUAAUGUAAAAGAAUAUAACCUUCAUAUAAUGAUGGAAAAAGAUCAACCAUAGAAUGUCACAAGAGUAGAUUAUGGUUAUAGAAGAUAGCUGAUAACAAAAUGGAGAAAGUAAAAUGUGCCGUAGGUAAAGGCAAAAAUUCUAGCAAAUGAGAAAGAUGACCAAAUUCGAGAACUAGCUUCUUCGUUAGAAAAGCAGGCAAUCUCUUAGCACAUAAGGUAGUUUCUUAGGUUCCUCAUUCUGGCUCUCAGAAAUAUAUUUUUUGCUUAUCUUGCUUCAUCAUGGAAGUGUUUAUUUACUUUUGGUUUUUUGGAAAAAUUUUGUGCUCUUUGGUGUUAUUAAUUUAAUCGUGUUUUGAGUUUUAUUGCUUCACAGCACUAAGUAGUAGUAUUACUGAUCUGAAGUUGAAUCAUUCCGAUUAAACUGAAUUUAGCCCUGAAGGCAUGAACUACAAAAUGGUAACUUUGAAGUUUAGCUAUUUAGAUAGUAAUAUACUAAUAUGUAUGUAUUGCUUAUGUUCGUUUCAAAAUAUGCGUUUGCAGGACACACCAAAGACAACGACUAUGGCCUUGCUGGUGAGAAAUUGUUUUUUAUAGUUUUCUUGGUAGUUUUGUCAAUAAUCCUAUAGCAUAUGUUAUUGAAAAAAGUAAUAGAAACUUGAUGACAUCUCUUUCAUUUUUUAUUUCUAUGAACGGAUGGCUACAGAUAACUCAUGUAUGUACAUACCAAAAGCAAUGGAUUCCAUUCAUAAUUUCAUUUUCAAUCAAAUUUCAAUUAAGCAACAAGUCAAGUAGCUUCUAUUGAGAUGCUGAUAAACUAUGAUGAAUGUGAAAGUCAUGAUUUUAUUGAAUAAAUAAAUUCUCGGUGUUGGUGCCAUUUUAAAUUCUCCUUCUAUUCUCUUUGGUAAUUGUUACAGUAUUUACGGAAGAAACUGCAUGAUGUUAUGCUUUUUUUAUUACCCAAAGUUGUCUUAUUCUUUUAUAAUUGUUAUUUGAUGGUAGUCUCUUUUAUUAUUUUAAAUUGGUUUUUUUUAUGCUUUGGAGUGUCAACGUCUAUAGUAUAGUUUCUUUAUUCUUUUGAAAAAUUUGGUUUUAAUCAUUAUAAGUAGUUUGCUGUUAAUAUUUUUUAUGUAUUUUAUAAAGUACUUUGUUUACAACUAGAGAAAGUAAAUUAAAUUGUUAUCGGUCUAAUUUUAAAUGCUGCAUUAUAAUAAUUUUAUUAUGCUAAUUUUAAAUGCUGCAAGAAAAUUAUUUGGCUUCUGGAAAAUAAGAAUAGAAAAGUCUUAUACUAUACAAAGUUUUAUAUAUAAAAACUUAUUCAAAUUAAAAGUAACACCUAUUACUAUUAAUAGAUAAGUAGCAAUCUAUUAUUAUAAUGAAACAAUGUUUGGCCCGGGCUUAGCGCGGGUUUUACACUAGUUUUAACUAAAAUUCAAGAACAAAUUAAACUAAUAUAUCAACCAGAUUUUAACUAAUAUACCAAUUCAAGAACAGAUUCUAUAACAAUAGUCAAUAGGUCAAUAGCAGAGGCACUGACCUGAGAGAGCACUCUGAGCUUUCUGACGACCAGGUGAGGCACCAAGAAAGGACAGAAGCAAAAGCAGCGAAGUAGAAGCACAACCCAGAGUGACGACAAGGGUGACGGAGAGACGAGGUUGGCUGAUGGGUAUCGGCGGUGACUGGUGACUUCGGCGGUGACUGAUGAGGCCGAUUGAUGAACUCAGAGCACGGCGAGGUAAGGGGAGAAGCAGUGACGGCCGGGAGAAGGAACCACGCCGCGGAGAGUGACGACGAGGGUGACGGAGAGACGAGGUUGGCUGAGGGGUAUCGGCAGUGACUGGUGACUUUGGCGGUGACUGAUGAGGCCGAUUGAUGAACUCAGAGUCUCAGACACUCACUCAACUCUCAAGACUCAAGAGAUACUGCAUUACUGCCAUUAGGGAGAUUGAGGCAAUGGAGAAGGGGGAUAGCCUAGGGUUUCAUUUCAACGAAAGACAAGAUCCAAGUUAGUAGAGUGAGAAAAAACCCAAAUGGUUAAAAUAAAUAAAGAAUAAUGUUGAAAAAAACCUACCGCCGCCGUUGAACAGAGGAGAAUACCGGCGAGAGGCCGUGUAGAAAGAGGGCAGCAAGAAAAAUUAAGCUAAGCUGAGAAGAAAUAGUUAUCUGCGUUGAAAUUACACCAAGAAAUCAAAGAAUUGUUGUAAUCUUUGGAGGGAAAAGGAUGGAAGGAGAUGAAAUGAGAGAGAGCUGCGGGAGAGAUGUCAGGCGGGUUUGGAGGGAAAAAUGAAAUGAGAUUGAG